UACGUAGGGUGCAAGCGUUGUCCGGAAUUAUUGGGCGUAAAGAGCUCGUAGGCGGUCUGUCGCGUCUGCUGUGAAAACUCGAGGGCUUAACCCUGAGCUUGCAGUGGGUACGGGCAGACUAGAGUGGCGGUAGGGGAGACUGGAAUUCCUGGUGUAGCGGUGAAAUGCGCAGAUAUCAGGAGGAACACCGGUGGGCGAAGGCGGGUCUCUGGGCCGGUAACUGA
rnacentral:rRNA from 1 species